GCUUGGCUUCUCCUUCUCUGAUCAUCUCUCUCUCUCGACCUCACCAACUCUUUCGCUCUCUCCAUCUCCAUCAUGGCAAAGCUCUCUGAUUCCCGCAAUUCCAACCGUUCCGAUCGUCGGAACAAAUACCUGAAGCCGAAUCCGGGUGGCCGGAAAUCAGGUCCUCGGAAAUUGGCGACUCUAUUCCAGGGUUUGGGGCUCCAAGACAAAACCCCUUCUUCUUUCAUGUUGUCGCCUACGUCGAGCCCUAGCCCUAACCCUAGAUCUGGAAUCCCGAGCGCACCUCCUACUCCCAAUGCACCGGCGAGGCACGGUCUCCGGCCACCGUCUCGCCUCCGGGGCUCGGAUAUGCGGCAGGUUACGGCUGUUCUCUUUCAGAGCCAGAUUUCUCUUUGCAAUUUUAAGCCUUCGGCUAAAGUUUUGUUCUUUGAGGAAGAGGUGUCUGAGGCGCGUGUUUUGUUUAGUGGCUUAAGCCUAGAUUCGUGAUGGGUCCGUUGCUGUGUUGUUCUUGCUGAAUGAAAUCAAACCAGUCAAAAAAAAAAAAAAAAAAAAGUAAAAUUUAUGUUUUGGGUAGUUGUGUUUAUGGGUUUUAAAGUCUAUAGGGGAUCCAAAUGUCUCUGUGUUGUUGUGGUCUGGAUAGGGAGUAUGCAGUUUUAGGAAGUCUUGUGUGAAUUAGGUGGCAAAAGAAUUAUGAUCAUGACCUUCUAAUGGCAAUGUCAAUUUGAAAAGUGCUUGUCAGUGCUUUUUCACUGGCUUUUCGCCGAUGAAUGCAGAAUGCACAAGCAGUGUGGCAACCGCCGCACUCUCUGUUGUGCUAGGUGUACUAGCUGCUAUAUAUUGAUUAUCGUUUCAAAGGAUGCAGGCAUCCACGACAAUUUGGGAUGCUCUCUCUAUGACUGUGAGUUCUAUUCCUCCUUUUCUAUGAUUUUUAUUGAUUGGCUGCUUUUAAACUUGAAAUAUCAAUACCAUUCUGCAUUUUGGUGUUCCUUGGCAAUGCUUUUUUGCUGCUUAGCAUUUAAGGAAAUGCCGAUGCAAGAUUUUUUUGGGUAAUGCUUUUCAUGUGGAAGCCUAGGACAAUUUGCAGAUAAGUUUGUGGUUAUUAUGAAGCCAAUAAGGCUGUGAAUCCAAAAUUUGCUAGAAAUGUUGUGCAGCUUAGUUGGAGUUUUCCUGCAGAGGAUUGGUGGCAGAGACACUCUGCUUCUGGUGUAUUACGGAGUGAUUGUAGUGUUUCAUUGAAGGGGAAUCUCUGCCAUGCUUGGAGUUGGUCAAGAUUUGGAUGCAGAGCUUUGGGGACUUUUAAAGAGAUUGAGAUUGGGAUUGGAUUGGGUUGCAGGUCUCAGCUCGACUCCAACCUAUUCACAUGCUUCAUCAGAGGAUUUGCUAUACAGAACCAAAAAAGCUUGGAGACAACUUGGCUGGGUUAGGGCAUGAUUGUAAUUCUGGUUGCAGAUUUUUCAAUGCCCCUUUUUCUGUUAGAAAAUGAUUUCACCAGGUCUGCUGAUAUUAGUUAGGUUCUUCUUAUCUUUUGGCCUCUGCGAACCCAUAUAUUUUCUCAUGUAUUGGUAGUAGUUGUUUUCCUGGCUAUCUGUACUACAGUAGCAAUAGUAGUCAUAUGUAAACAGCUUCAACUUUAUAAUAUUAUAUCCUUUUUCUGAAUUCUGAAAAAA